AAAAACACAACAUUUAUUGUUUUGAACAUAAUUUUAUGUUAAAAUUUAGCCUUUACAAAUAUUUUCACGUUUUAUUAAAAUCAGUGUAUCGAGAGGAUGACGAAUGAAAGGAACAUAUAAAGAAAAUGAAAAUACGGUUGUUGAAAAAUUAAUACUAUUCAGUCAAAAGAAGUAAAAUGAUAGACACAAAUUAAGACAUAAAAUUUUGAUAAAAAAAGUUGUAAGAUUUCAGCCAAACAGAGGGCCUACUAAUUACCCACUGCCCAGGGGGAACACUGGACAGUGACCUAGUAGCCGCGCCAAACAAGAUAGUACUUGUCGACGGAGCUACUAGGUUUUGAUAAAAACAAAUAAAAAACAAAUAUUAAUAAAAAUGAAGGAAAAAUAUAGGGAGGAAAAAUAAAAGAGGCCAUGAAUAAUAUAAUAACAUUUUUUUAUAAUUAUUAUUUUAAAUAUAUAUAUUUUCAUAAAGGGAAGAAUAAUAAAAAAAAAAGGAAGCAAAAAGGAGGUGCAAUAUUAACAAGAUUAAUAAUGGGUAGAACAGGGGGGUUUCACGUUAUACUUGUUGUUGAUUGUUGAUUUGAGGAGUGACGGCCCACCACCGGCCAUAGUUGUGCCUUACGCCAUAAUCAUCAUCAUCAUCACCAUCUCGACGUUUUGUUUAAAAUAAAAAAACGGAGGACAAAAAAAAAAUACAAUCUGGUUGACACCACAAUAGACGGCAGGUCGACUCGACGUUUAUUUUAUACAAAAAAACGGAGGACAAAAAAAAAUACAACCUGGUUGACACCACAGUAGACGGCAGGUCGACUCGACGUUUAUUUUAUACAAAAAAACGGAGGACAAAAAAAAAUACAA